UUGAAGAGUUUGAUCAUGGCUCAGAUUGAACGCUGGCGGCAGGCCUAACACAUGCAAGUCGAACGGUAGCACAGAGAGCUUGCUCUUGGGUGACGAGUGGCGGACGGGUGAGUAAUGUCUGGGAAACUGCCCGAUGGAGGGGGAUAACUACUGGAAACGGUAGCUAAUACCGCAUAACGUCGCAAGACCAAAGUGGGGGACCUUAGGGCCUCACACCAUCGGAUGUGCCCAGAUGGGAUUAGCUAGUAGGUGGGGUAACGGCUCACCUAGGCGACGAUCCCUAGCUGGUCUGAGAGGAUGACCAGCCACACUGGAACUGAGACACGGUCCAGACUCCUACGGGAGGCAGCAGUGGGGAAUAUUGCACAAUGGGCGCAAGCCUGAUGCAGCCAUGCCGCGUGUAUGAAGAAGGCCUUCGGGUUGUAAAGUACUUUCAGCGAGGAGGAAGGCGUUAAGGUUAAUAACCUUAGCGAUUGACGUUACUCGCAGAAGAAGCACCGGCUAACUCCGUGCCAGCAGCCGCGGUAAUACGGAGGGUGCAAGCGUUAAUCGGAAUUACUGGGCGUAAAGCGCACGCAGGCGGUUUGUUAAGUCAGAUGUGAAAUCCCCGGGCUCAACCUGGGAACUGCAUUUGAAACUGGCAAGCUUGAGUCUCGUAGAGGGGGUAGAAUUCCAGGUGUAGCGGUGAAAUGCGUAGAGAUCUGGAGGAAUACCGGUGGCGAAGGCGGCCCCCUGGACGAAGACUGACGCUCAGGUGCGAAAGCGUGGGGAGCAAACAGGAUUAGAUACCCUGGUAGUCCACGCCGUAAACGAUGUCUAUUUGGAGGUUGUUCCCUUGAGGAGUGGCUUCCGGAGCUAACGCGUUAAAUAGACCGCCUGGGGAGUACGGCCGCAAGGUUAAAACUCAAAUGAAUUGACGGGGGCCCGCACAAGCGGUGGAGCAUGUGGUUUAAUUCGAUGCAACGCGAAGAACCUUACCUACUCUUGACAUCCAGAGAACUUAGCAGAGAUGCUUUGGUGCCUUCGGGAACUCUGAGACAGGUGCUGCAUGGCUGUCGUCAGCUCGUGUUGUGAAAUGUUGGGUUAAGUCCCGCAACGAGCGCAACCCUUAUCCUUUGUUGCCAGCGGUCCGGCCGGGAACUCAAAGGAGACUGCCAGUGAUAAACUGGAGGAAGGUGGGGAUGACGUCAAGUCAUCAUGGCCCUUACGAGUAGGGCUACACACGUGCUACAAUGGCAUAUACAAAGAGAAGCGACCUCGCGAGAGCAAGCGGACCUCAUAAAGUAUGUCGUAGUCCGGAUUGGAGUCUGCAACUCGACUCCAUGAAGUCGGAAUCGCUAGUAAUCGUAGAUCAGAAUGCUACGGUGAAUACGUUCCCGGGCCUUGUACACACCGCCCGUCACACCAUGGGAGUGGGUUGCAAAAGAAGUAGGUAGCUUAACCUUCGGGAGGGCGCUUACCACUUUGUGAUUCAUGACUGGGGUGAAGUCGUAACAAGGUAACCGUAGGGGAACCUGCGGUUGGAUCACCUCCUU
rnacentral:rRNA from 1 species